AUUGUACGCUGGCGGCAGGCCUAACACAUGCAAGUCGAACGAAGUCUUCGGACUUAGUGGCGGACGGGUGAGUAACACGUGGGAACGUACCUUUUGGUUCGGAACGACUCAGGGAAACUUGAGCUAAUACCGGAUGAGCCCUUAGGGGGAAAGAUUUAUCGCCGAAAGAGCGGGCCGCGUUAGAUUAGCUAGUUGGUGAGGUAAAGGCUCACCAAGGCUACGAUCUAUAGCUGGUCUGUGAGGAUGAUCAGCCACACUGGGACUGAGACACGGCCCAGGCUCCAACGGGAGGCGGCAGUGCUGAAUCUUGCGCAACGGUCGAAAGCCUGACGCAGCCAUGCCUCGUGAAUGAUGAAGGUCUGAGGAUUGUAAAAUUCUUUUACCAGGGACGAUAAUGACGGUACCUGGAGAAAAAGCCCCGGCUAACUUCGUGCCAGCCGCCGCCGUAAAAC
rnacentral:rRNA from 1 species